GAAUUCUUCUAACAUACAUCAGGUUCAUCACCAGCUGAUAGAUCUUGUCUCCAUUGUUAAAAACAAAUGAAAGCAGCAAGUGAAUGAAUUAUUCUGGGGAGAACAUUUCUAUGAAACUGUGCAGAUUUAGUGAAGGAUAUCAAUGUGAUUGACCAUGGAUUUGGAGAUAUUCAUUGGCACUUCCUCGUCUCAGCAGUGAAUGAACAACUGAAGAGGUCUCAUCCUUUCCCAGAAUCAGAUGUUCAGCAGUUAGGAGUAAGACGUUGUAAGCCCUUUUCCCAUCCAUGAGUGAUUGUUGACAGUCAGUCUUGUUCAAGCUCAAUAGAGAAUCCUUCAACUUCUGUUGAGUUCCUUAACACAGUGGUUGCAUCAUGCAUAAAGAAUGACACUUCAUACUCAUUCCCCCUGUCUUCCACCUCUGACAUUCUUCCCAUCCCUUCAUCCCCAGGUUCUCUAAGCCUUCGAGAGGAUGUUUUAAGCAUCUCCCUUAGGGUUAGGCUCUCAGCCAUCAUUCAUUUUCCAAAUCAUAGGCAGCCAUUUGCUACAAAGAAAGGCUUCUAUUAUUAUAACGGAUGGGAGUAGGUUUUAUCUAUGGGUAUAAACAUAGAAAUCUACAA